rnacentral:lncRNA from 1 species
GCCAGUAUAAAAUCCUCUAUCAAGCAAAUCCAUAAGAUGUGAUGCGUUGUUUUUCCUCAACCACGACAUAAAGUGAGAAAAUGUCCCUUUAAUGUAUAUUCUCUCCUUGAUCAUCCAUUUAAUUAACAUAAUCCCGUUCACAAUAUUCCUGCAUCAAUUUAACAAGUUCUGGUACAUCUCUGUUCCUCAGACUAAUAAUCCAUACAUGAUAGCCUCUUAUUAAAAAAAGAAAAAAAACUCUUUGGCAAUGGAGAAAGCAUUUUGUAGGCCGACAUCUCUUAAACCUUAUUAAGUCCAAAAUAGCUCCAACUCUAAUUUAAAUCAAC